rnacentral:misc_RNA from 1 species
AAAAAUUUAAAUCAGAUACUCUUUAUCUUUAAUACUGGAAUAAUGGUCUGAUAUCUUUACAUGGGCAGCUUUUAGUCGGCCAAAUUGUGACACUUCAUUAUCUUACUAUUUAUAUACUAAUCAUGUCAGAUGGAAUUUUUAUUCCACAGUAUUAGUGAAAUUUUAGUCAUGUUAAUGGUUGUUUUUGAUUUGUAUUAACAUACUUUCGUCUGCUUUAUUGGUGCAUAGAUUAUACACAGACCGAGUUUAUGCAGUUUCGUGUUUUUUUUUCAUAUACACACUAAGUGCCAAUUUUGAAAGUGCUUUUUUUCUACACAAACCUUAUAAGUCUUACUGCCGAAUUGUUGCUCUGCAGGCAGGAUACGAAACCAUGUGACAAUUGUGCAACAUUCCAGCAGCAAGAAAAAUCAAAUUUUUCCAGAUUGGACCACUGACUAUUAUAGAAGUUUGUCCUUUUGUGUGAAAUAAAAUGUUAAAAUACAGG